UGAACAAGGUAGACGACUUAAAUUAGCACGCUUAUAUGCUAAAAGGGAAGCCCUUUAUAAGGCUAACCCUUAUAAGCAAUAUGCAAGGUGUUGGUGAGCGGAUGAUAAGGGUUUUGUAAGGGUAUUUGGGCUACCGAUUACUCAAAUGUGGUAGCCUUAUAUAAGGGUUUUUAAAACCAAAACAAAGGGUUUCGUCUGGCAAAGGGUAUGGUGAGUUAAGCCUUAUGCAAUACCCUUAUAAAACCCCGAUAAGGGAUAGCGGGCCGACUCGCCCACCGAGGGUUCCGUACUUUUUUGUAUUUGUAUAGCGGCAACAGAAAUACAUCAUCUGUGAAAAUCUCAACUGUCUAUCAUGGUUCAUGAUAUCUCAUCUCAUCAGCCUGGUGACAGACAGAGGAGUCUUAGUAAUAGGGUCCCGUUUCUACCCUUUAGGUACGGAACCCUAUAAACUAAAGUAAGGUUGUGGAGACUGGUUCAAACGUAAGCGAGCGACUGACGGGUCUGAAUUUUGGCUGCGGCGGGUUUAGUAGCAUUUUCUCUGAUUUAGGGGACUUUUACAUCUCCAAAUUUAAUGCAAGGUGUAUUUGGGUAUUAUCGGAAAUUGGGUAAUUCCGAAAAAUCAUUUAACAUUUGUUUCGUUGUAAUAUGCCAAUAAAAAGGACUUAUAUUCGCCACUUAGUGUUUUAUCCUUUCAAAAUUACCUGAAUACACCUUAUUAUAAACCCCAGAGACUAUUCUUAUUUAAAAUAAGAUAUUUUGUUAUGUUAAUUACUUUGUAAGGAUUUCAUUCUGGACUAUAUCUGAUACAGUGUAUCAGAUUUAGGCCACCUAUACCAGGGAAAAAAGGAGACUACAUAUCUGACAGUUUUGAAUUGACCUCUAUCAAAGAUAUAAUAUAUAACUCCGUAUAAGCAUAGAUUAACUUAUACUAGAAUACAUUAUACUUAUACUAGAAGCAUAGAUUAACUUAUAUAGAUAGAUACAGUCUAAGGAAAAAACGUGCCUCGAAAAUCAAGAAAAUUUGAUUCUCGUUCAGAGGGCGCUACUAGUUUUGGCCUACAGUCGUAUAGAUGGCGUUGACGGUUUCGUUUUUUAUUUAACAAUUUUAACGCAUAUCAGUGAAAGAACAAGGGUCAAAAUCAUAAAAAUAAUUAAUGCAAAUAAAAAAAAUCAUUUAUCUAUAUUUAAAUACAUUCUAUCGUAUUUUUAUAAAUCUUCAUUUUUAGUUUUAAAGUGUGUCGACAGAUGGCAGUGAAUUUACUGGGGUUACGAAAUUUACUAUGACAGUACCGCUCUAGUAUAAGUUACUCUAUGGUUUGAUAUUUAACAAUUUUAACAUAUAUCAGCGGAAGAACAAGGAUAGUCAAAUGGCGUUCUAAGUUUUAAUCCUGUGUCGAAACUGUCGAAAGAUGGCAAUAAAUUUACUGUGAUUACAAAACAUAUUUUUACAAUACGCCUCUAUACUAAAUUAUCUUUGCCCUUAUAUUAUAUCUCUGGGUUGGCUAGGGUGCCUGGGGUGGAUUCAUAACUGUCAUAUUGUGAUCGUGGUGCCGACUAUAAUAAAAACAGUUUAAUUAAUUUUAUUAUUUUUAUUAGUGUAAUAAGGCUUGAGAUACGCACGUACCCCGUUCAAUAAAAUGCAUUAAUAACUUAAA